rnacentral:rRNA from 1 species
UGAGGAAUAUUGGUCAAUGGCCGAGAGGCUGAACCAGCCAAGUAGCGUGAAGGAUGACUGCCCUACGGGUUGUAAACUUCUUUUAUACGGGAAUAAAGUCCGCUACGAGUAGCGGUUUGUAUGUACCGUACGAAUAAGCAUCGGCUAAUUCCGUGCCAGCAGCCGCGGUAAUACGGAAGAUGCGAGCGUUAUCCGGAUUUAUUGGGUUUAAAGGGAGCGUAGGCGGGAUGUUAAGUCAGUUGUGAAAGUUUGCGGCUCAACCGUAAAAUUGCAGUUGAUACUGGCGUCCUUGAGUGCGGCAGAGGAAGGCGGAAUUCGUGGUGUAGCGGUGAAAUGCUUAGAUAUCACGAAGAACUCCGAUUGCGAAGGCAGCUUUCUGGACCGUAACUGACGCUGAUGCUCGAAAGUGCGGGUAUCAAACAGGA